rnacentral:rRNA from 1 species
GGAGGAAUAUUGGUCAAUGGACGCAAGUCUGAACCAGCCAAGUAGCGUGCAGGAUGACGGCCCUAUGGGUUGUAAACUGCUUUUAUGCGGGGAUAAAGUUUGGGAUGUAUCCCAUUUUGUAGGUACCGCAUGAAUAAGGACCGGCUAAUUCCGUGCCAGCAGCCGCGGUAAUACGGAAGGUCCGGGCGUUAUCCGGAUUUAUUGGGUUUAAAGGGAGCGUAGGCCGCUGUUUAAGCGUGUUGUGAAAAACCGGGGCUCAACUCCGGUCGUGCAGCGCGAACUGGACGGCUUGAGUGCGCGGUAGGUGGGCGGAAUUUGUGGUGUAGCGGUGAAAUGCUUAGAUAUCACGAAGAACUCCGAUUGCGAAGGCAGCUCACUGUAGCGCAACUGACGCUGAAGCUCGAAAGUGCGGGGUAUCGAACAGGAUUAGAUACCCUGGUAGU